ACUAAAAGCCACCUCCAGCUGUCUGGGGUGGUGGGGGACAGGCUUGAGGAAUGGAAGGGAUAAGUUGUGUUUGGACGAGUCGAGCAGUCCCUGAGAUCAUUUGGGAGCUAGAGGGAAGAGGACCCUAGAGGUAUUUUGCAGAGUGUUUCUUGAGACCACAUUACACGCCAUGCCCUCUGCCGCCUGCUGAGCACAGGGGCAUGUGGGAGGAUUUUAUCUCAGCUCUGGAGAAAUGUCUAGUUAGCUGAAUGACAGACACUAAGGAUUUUGAGGGAUACGGAGGGAAACACCUGGGCCAGGAGUUUGAGUCCUGACUUUGUUUCUGUGAAAAACACCGGCUCGUGCCUUCUCUACUCUGAUGCUUCAUUUUUAGCUCUGCAAGCCCUGGACUCCCAGGGCUGAGAUGAUCGAAAAACAAGAUGGUAGGACAUGGGGAUUUGGGGAGCUGGACAGAGGUUCUGGCAUCACUGGGGUUCCCAGGAGGCAGGGCACAGCUGGGGGCCAAGGAGGUCCAACAACAACGAGGACAGAGCAUAGGCAGAAGCCCCGGCCGUCUUUUAGCCAAAGAGGAGUUGAUACAGGGAAAGAGAAGGUUGUUAGGAAGAGGAGACAGUGCAGAGGAUAAACUUCUCAAACUGGAGUUGGGGUCUCAGGCGACGUGGGAUUGGCCACAAAUCCUGCAGCUGGGUUUUACCAUUGACCAGAACCCUUCUUGUCCCCAACUGGGGUGGCCGGUCACUCUGCUCGAACUGCCCAUUUCCAAUCUCCUGACCUAGCCGCUGUUCUAACGCUCCAUGUUCGAGGACUUUCUUAGGUCACCAGGGACCAGUUUGCUCUUACAUACUUAAAAUUAUGCAAUUGGCAGUUAACGCCAGUGGGAGCAGCUCUCCAACAAGGAUUGACAGGCGCUGGUAGCUAAACCUCUUAGCGCUUUCAACCCUCAAAUGGGAUAACUCUGAGGCAUACGUUCUAUGCUGGCUCCCAGAGUUCCCCGAUGGGAUUAAGCUCCAAUUGACUAUAGUAGUAAUUUGUGUGAAAACGCAUCCUCCAUCGACUGCCUUCUUUUCCCUGUCUCAUUCCCUCAAGCUCCAAAUGGUGCCACCUGGGAUCGUCUCCCAAGUAAUCUACUUGUACUCGAGAUCUUUGUGUCAGGGUCGCCUCGUGCGGGAACCCAAGCUAAGGCGCGCGACUAUCUCCCCCACUUCCGGGUCUCUGUCUAUGCGGUUAAAAUGAGACCGACCCCAUCCCCCAACUCCAGGGAUGGGCACAUGACUCGGAGCUGACCAAUCACACCACCAUACCUCUUUGGCUACAGUGAUUGGUUCAGGGGUCGUCACGUGACCCCCAACCAGGCCAAUGACAGCUUCUUCCUGGACUUCUACCGAGACGAUUGGGAACAGGAACCUUUUUCUGCUGCGGUCCCCAAACUCUUGGGACGUUAGGUUGGGGGCCGGUGUUCUCUGAGGAUGAAGCCGCCUCAGAGGAUGCUGGUGCUGAGCUGAGGAAGCGAAAUCAGAUCCAGGUGGCCUUAUGUGCAUCCCUGGUUCCGGCGCAGUGUGUAAUUUGAAGUGCCGUUUAUUAGCCUGGUCCAUCCUGAGCUCUCCUAGGCAGGCCUAUUUCCCAUAGCUCCUCGGGUUUGCCCUCCCUAUCUGGCCCCUCAAGUGACAGGGUUUGCAGUCCCUGGAUUUGGCCCGGAAAUCGUUCUUGCCUGAGUGUUCUGAGUUGCUUUAGCAACAUUGUGGAGCAAGGGGAGUUACCAACGUUCAAGGUGGCGGAAUAACCUGUUUGAGAAAUCAACUACUUUUCAUUUCCUCAACUCCAGAGUCAUUGGGAAAGAAUGAAAGAACCGAAUUUUGCGGGACCAAGGAGCAGCGUGCAAGGCCCAGAGGAUGAAUUCUGUUUGGUCUAAGCCAGCAUGGGAAUCCUGUCUCCCUUUGACCUAGUCUUGGGGACGUGACUUUUGGAGCUACAGCACUUACUUUGAGACUCUAAGGGAAUGGCCAAGGGAAUCCUCAAGAAACUGACCCGUUGCCCUAAUACUGAGAUGCCGAAGUUCCCAAUCCCAAAACAUUUUACUUACCGACUUAUUGUUACCUGAGAUAAUAAAGAUCGACAUUUAAGGCUCUCUUAACUGAGUGUCAGGUUACCUGCAGCCCAACCGUGCCCUAACGGAUCCACCUGCAGACUUUAGAAGUUUAAAGCACGGAAGGCGGAACCAAAAAGGCUGCCACUUCUCUGCGAUUGUUCCGGUUCUACAGCCGGUCAGGCUUCUCCCACUUUGCUCUUUGACUCUUUCCUCGCGAAGCUCUUGCAGCUGAAUAAGCAUUAAUAAUUCAUCAGGACCCCACCACUCUGGGCUGAAUUGUGUAAACUUCCUUGUUAGUCUGAAGGUUUCCUGAAGCCCUGUGCAAGCAUUUACCAUGUAGAGGGUAAGACGGGGCUAACCUAGGAGUUUGGCCUCUAACAGUGUAAUUUUUGUGUUGAAUUUUUUUUUUUAUUUGUUAAUAAUAUCAAACCUACAGAAGAGUUGGAUGAAUAAAAAUGGGACAAAGAACACCUAAGAGAAAGCAUGAGCAGGAGAGGGGCAGAGAGAGAGGGAGAGAGAAAAAUCCCGAGCAGGCUGUGUGACAUGGGGUUCGAUCCCACGAACUGUGAGACCAUGAACUGAGCUGAAAUCAAGAGU